GACGAACGCUGGCGGCGUGCUUAACACAUGCAAGUCGAACGGUGAAGCGCCUUCCUUUUUGGUGGGUGUGGAUGAGUGGCGAACGGGUGAGUAACACGUGAGUAACCUGCCCCCUCUUCUGGAUAACCGCAUGAAAGGGUGGCUAAUACGGGAUAUUCUGGGUCUGUCGCAUGAUGGGUCUGGGAAAGAUAUUGUUUCGGGGGGGGAUGGGCUCGCGGCCUAUCAGCUUGUUGGUGGGGUGAUGGCCUACCAAGGCGGUGACGGGUAGCCGGCCUGAGAGGGUGGACGGUCACACUGGGACUGAGACACGGCCCAGACUCCUACGGGAGGCAGCAGUGGGGAAUAUUGCACAAUGGGCGCAAGCCUGAUGCAGCGACGCCGCGUGAGGGAUGGAGGCCUUCGGGUUGUGAACCUCUUUCGCCAGUGAAGCAGGCCUGCCUCGUUUGUGGGUGGGUUGACGGUAGCUGGAUAAGAAGCGCCGGCUAACUACGUG
rnacentral:rRNA from 1 species